UCCAUUGAUGUAUCUUACAAAGA
rnacentral:siRNA from 1 species